rnacentral:rRNA from 1 species
GAUUAUGGCUCAGGAUGAACGCUAGCGAUAGGCCUAACACAUGCAAGUCGAGGGGCAGCACAUGAGUAGCAAUACGAUGGUGGCGACCGACGCACGGGUGAGUAACACGUAUGCAACCUACCUUUAACAGGGGAAUAACCCGUUGAAAAACGGACUAAUACUCCAUAACACAGGGGUCCCGCAUGGGAAUAUUUGUUAAAGAUUAAUCGGUUGAAGAUGGGCAUGCGUUCCAUUAGCUUGUUGGUGAGGUAACGGCUCACCAAGGCCACGAUGGAUAGGGGAACUGAGAGGUUUAUCCCCCACACUGGAACUGAGACACGGUCCAGACUCCUACGGGAGGCAGCAGUGAGGAAUAUUGGUCAAUGGAGGCAACUCUGAACCAGCCAAGUCGCGUGAAGGAAUGAAGGUCUUAUGGAUUGUAAACUUCUUUUGCAAGAGAAUAAAGUGGGGGACGUGUCCUCCUUUGCAUGUACCUUGCGAAUAAGGAUCGGCUAACUCCGUGCCAGCCGCUGC